UUACUGAUCACAGUAACCAUGUAUGUCUCGCUCUGGAGUUGGCCAUUUAACUCCAAAGAAUACACUCCACUGCCAUUUGAAGGCAAAG